rfam:Schistosoma margrebowiei strain Zambia genome assembly, scaffold: SMRZ_contig0000638
CUUCAGGCUGACGAGUCCCAAAUAGGACUGAACACGUGUCCUGAAU